rnacentral:rRNA from 1 species
GUGAAAUUGUUGAAAGGGAAACGAUUGAAGUCAGUCAUACCAACGGGAAAUCAACCUUUUGAGUUUGGUCUCGUGGGUUUUGAAGAGUUUUAAAAGCCUUCGGAUUUUCGGGAUUGGGUUCUUCUGGUGUACUUUCUCGUACGGUUAGUCAACAUCGGUUUUGAAUGUCAUAAAAUGACUGGAGGAAUGUGGCUUCGAUCUCGUAUUGAAGUGUUAUAGCCUCUGGUAGAUGCGGUGACCGAAACUGAGGAUUGCAACGAAUACCCUUCUGGGCUAUCCGUCUGGCCUCUGAAAGUUGCUUAGGUGCCGAAAGCGUGCUUACGGCUAUUUAAGUUGACGGUCAACAGGUUAGAACGUGAUUACAUUCGUUAAGGACGUUGACGUAAUGGCUUUAAACGAC